rnacentral:rRNA from 1 species
GAUGAACGCUGGCGGCGUGCCUAACACAUGCAAGUCGAGCGGACAGAUGUGGUUCUUGCUUCUCUCACGUUAGUGACGGAUGAGUGAGUCACAUGUGGAUAACCUCCCUAUCUGAAUGCGGUUACUUCUGGAACCCGGACCUCAUAUCGGAUAAUAUAUUGAACCCCAUGGUUCUUUCGUGAAUGAUUUUUUAGCUGUCACUUUUAUAUCUUUCCUGGCCGGUUUAGCUAGUUUGUAAGGUGACGGCUUACCAAGGCGACGAUGCGUAGCCGAACUGAGAGGGUGAUAGGACACACUGGAACUGAGACACGGUCCAGACUCCUACGGGAGGCAGCAGUAGGGAAUAUUCCGAAGUGGGAGAAAGCCUGACGGAGCAACGCCGCGUGAGUGAAGAAGGUCUUCGGAUCGUAAAGCACUGUUAAUAGGGAAGAAGAAAUGUGUAAGUAGCAAUGGAAGUAUUGACGGUACCUAAUGAAUAAGCAACGGCUAACUACGUG